GAGUCUUGCGGCAAAGAGGAUGACCUUUGAUGAAUCGCAGGAUCGUGCUCUGCAUAUUCUCCGACUGACAGAGGUGGGGGAGACCCGAUACCCCCAUUGUUUCCCCAUGAAAGUCAUCUCCUGGAAUUGUCGGGAUCUUGGAGCUGUGGGAUCACCGACCGGAAAAAAUCUGAAUAUUCAUAAGCCUGAUUUUACGUUCUUAGUUGAAACUCUACUAAGUGUAAUAUACUUAGGGAUUUGUGUGUCUAGAUAAAGUUUGAUUAACUAUUUACCAUUCCGUCAAUAGGGAGGAGUGGAGGAUUGGCUAUAUUAUGGAACAAGGA
rnacentral:lncRNA from 1 species